rnacentral:rRNA from 1 species
UACGGAGGGUGCAAGCGUUAAUCGGAUUUAUUGGGCGUAAAGGGCGCGUAGGCGGGAUGGAAAGUCAGACGUGAAAGCCCGGAGCUCAACUCCGGAAUGGCAUCUGAAACUUCUGUUCUAGAGGAUAGACGGAGAAAACGGAAUUCCACAUGUAGCGGUGAAAUGCGUAGAUAUGUGGAAGAACACCAGUAGCGAAAGCGGUUUUCUAGUUUAGACCUGACGCUGAGGCGCGAAAGCUAGGGGAGCAAACAGG